rnacentral:rRNA from 1 species
AAAUUGAAGAGUUUGAUCAUGGCUCAGAUUGAACGCUGGCGGCAGGCCUAACACAUGCAAGUCGAGCGGUAGCACAGAGAGCUUGCUCUCGGGUGACGAGCGGCGGACGGGUGAGUAAUGUCUGGGAAACUGCCUGAUGGAGGGGGAUAACUACUGGAAACGGUAGCUAAUACCGCAUAACGUCGCAAGACCAAAGUGGGGGACCUUCGGGCCUCAUGCCAUCAGAUGUGCCCAGAUGGGAUUAGCUAGUAGGUGGGGUAAUGGCUCACCUAGGCGACGAUCCCUAGCUGGUCUGAGAGGAUGACCAGCCACACUGGAACUGAGACACGGUCCAGACUCCUACGGGAGGCAGCAGUGGGGAAUAUUGCACAAUGGGCGCAAGCCUGAUGCAGCCAUGCCGCGUGUGUGAAGAA